UACGAAGGGUGCAAGCGUUACUCGGAAUUACUGGGCGUAAAGCGUGCGUAGGUGGUGGUUUAAGUCUGUCGUGAAAGCCCUGGGCUCAACCUGGGAAUUGCGAUGGAUACUGGAUCACUAGAGUGUGGUAGAGGGAUGCGGAAUUUCCGGUGUAGCAGUGAAAUGCGUAGAGAUCGGAAGGAACAUCUGUGGCGAAGGCGGCAUCCUGGGCCAACACUGACACUGAGGCACGAAAGCCAGGGGAGCAAACGGG
rnacentral:rRNA from 1 species